AGUUAUAGUAAUUUUUGAGUUCUGAUAGUUGGAGGAGACAAUAAUGGCAAGUAACAAUAUGGAGCUUCCUGCGCCUCUGUCUUGGAAGAAACUGCUCAUGCCGAAAAAGGGUAUAAGAGCAAAGAAGAAUGAGGUUGUAUUUGUUGCUCCAACAGGAGAGGAGAUAAGGAACAAGAGGCAGUUGGAGAAGUACCUGAAAACACACAAUGGAAAUCCUGGUAUGUCAGAAUUUGAUUGGACUACUGGUGAGACUCCGAGGAGAUCAGCACGGAUCAGUCAGAAGGUUAAGGCAAUGCCACUUCCAGCAGUGCUUGAGCCAGCAAAGAAACGACAACGUACGUCUUCAUCUACAAAAAAAGAAGAGGAAAUGGAUGCCGCAAAUGCAGAGAAGGAAAACAUGGACAAGAAAGAAAUGGAAUCUGUCAUAGAAGCAACGGAAGGCUUGGAAAACAAGGAGAAUGUAGUAGACAAUGAAACGGUGGACAAGGAAGUAGACACAGAGCACAAGAAAGAUGAGGAAUUGUCUGGUGGAGAGGUCUUGCAGAAGCAGAAAUCUGAAGCCAGUAAUGACGCUCUAGUCGAGGAUGGUGGCAAGCUGGCUCAAAAUGGCAUAGAGGAUACUAUAGUAGAAGUUGAAAUAGAGGACAAGGGGGAUGAGAUGGGCGCUUAUAAGGAAAAUAUUGAGCAUAAAAUAGAAGGGGAAAUCUCUGGUACAGAGGUUUCAGAUAGGAAAACUGAGACCAGCAAUGAUACUCAGUUUGGGGAUGGAAGUAAAAUGGCUGAAAACGUUUCAGUGGUGACUACAGCAAUCGAUGCAGACUUCUGGAAUGAUUCCAUGGACAAGGACUAUUUCAAGGGAGCUUUUGCAAAUGCUGUAAUUGGAGAUACAAAUGCUGCUGAAGCAGGAAUAGAAGUCGGGGAGAAACCAGGAUACGGGGAAAAUCUAGAGUCCCAGAUUGACAUAGAAAUUAGUGGAGCAGAUGAUAUGAAUCACGACAUGCCAGAUAUGGUCGCAUCAGAGAGAAAUGUCGCCGGAGGGGAGACGUUGAACAUUCAGGACCCUGCAUUUGUUGAAGGAACUGGUGGUUUCCAUGAAGAGCAUAGGCCGCUGGAAGAGGAGAAAAAUAAGAACAGUACUGGUCUGGUGAUGGAUAAUGGCCAGAUUAACCAGCCAGAGCGGGCACAUACCCCGCAACAUCAAUCUUCCGCUACCAUAAGUUGCUGAGUGUAGCAUCUAAAAUAAAUUAGGCCUUCGCCAAGUGCAUGUUUAAUCCUUCCUUGGACGAGUAUAAUAGUUUGUUUAGUAGCUUAGGAAUUAGCUUCUCUGGAGAUCAACUUUCCUUUUCUGUAACAUUGCAUCUGUGAUCUGUACUCUCUGAUAUAUUGUGGUUUCUUACUAACAUAAAUAAAUGUCAA
rnacentral:misc_RNA from 1 species